CGGCGGACGGGUGAGUAACGCGUGGGUAACCUGCCUCAUACAGGGGGAUAACAGUUAGAAAUGGCUGCUAAUACCGCAUAAGACCACGGUACUGCAUGGUACAGUGGUAAAAACUCCGGUGGUAUGAGAUGGACCCGCGUCUGAUUAGGUAGUUGGUGAGGUAACGGCCCACCAAGCCGGCGAUCAGUAGCCGACCUGAGAGGGUGACCGGCCACAUUGGGACUGAGACACGGCCCAG
rnacentral:rRNA from 1 species